AGCUUUGCGCAGUGGCGAUAUCGUAACCAAUGAGGUACAACCGAGGUGCGAUUAUUGCUAGUUGAAAUUACAUAUUCUUCCACAAAAUUUAUAAUCUUUCACCAUAAAAAAAUCAAAAAAAUCCUCAAAAUAAUUAAUAAA